AGUGAACGCUGGCGGUAGGCCUAACACAUGCAAGUCGAACGGCAGCACAGUAAGAGCUUGCUCUUACGGGUGGCGAGUGGCGGACGGGUGAGGAAUACAUCGGAAUCUACUUUUUCGUGGGGGAUAACGUAGGGAAACUUACGCUAAUACCGCAUACGACCUACGGGUGAAAGCAGGGGAUCUUCGGACCUUGCGCGAUUGAAUGAGCCGAUGUCGGAUUAGCUAGUUGGCGGGGUAAGGGCCCACCAAGGCGACGAUCCGUAGCUGGUCUGAGAGGAUGAUCAGCCACACUGGAACUGAGACACGGUCCAGACUCCUACGGGAGGCAGCAGUGGGGAAUAUUGGACAAUGGGCGCAAGCCUGAUCCAGCCAUACCGCGUGGGUGAAGAAGGCCUUCGGGUUGUAAAGCCCUUUUGUUGGGAAAGAAAAGCAGCAGGUUAAUACCCCGCUGUUCUGACGGUACCCAAAGAAUAAGCACCGGCUAACCUCGUG
rnacentral:rRNA from 1 species